rnacentral:rRNA from 1 species
UGGGGAAUUUUGGACAAUGGGCGAAAGCCUGAUCCAGCCAUGCCGCGUGAGUGAAGAAGGCCUUCGGGUUGUAAAGCUCUUUUAGUCGGGAAGAAAGAGAUGCAAUGAAUCAUUGUGAUUUAUGACGGUACCGACAGAAAAAGCACCGGCUAACUACGUGCCAGCAGCCGCGGCAAUACGUAGGGUGCGAGCGUUAAUCGGAAUUACUGGGCGUAAAGGGUGCGCAGGCGGUCUUGCAAGUCAGAUGUGAAAGCCCCGGGCUUAACCUGGGAAUUGCGUUUGAAACUACAAGACUAGAGUGCAGCAGAGGGGAGUGGAAUUCCAUGUGUAGCAGUGAAAUGCGUAGAUAUGUGGAAGAACACCGAUGGCGAAGGCAGCUCCCUGGGUUGACACUGACGCUCAUGCACGAAAGCGUGGGGAGCAAACA